AUUAGUUUAAUCUUUGUUUUAAAAAUAUUUAAUAGAAUCCAGAAUUUUAUCUUUUUAAAAAUACCAAUAUACAUUAAAUUUGUAGCAAAUGCAAAUUGUAUAACUAGACAACAAGCAGAAGUACUGUUUAAUAAUUGGGAAUUUGGUGUUAAAAGGCUUAUUUGAAUUCAUUUUGAGGCUUUUUACCUUUGUGUUUGUCUGCAAAUUUAAAGUGAUGGAACUGUGAAUCAUAGCACUGUGGUUCACUUAGAAAUUUGGAGUAGCAAGUGAAAAAUCUGAUAGUUUUAGGACAUUUUUAAAAAUGUCUGGGUGACAUAGUUAAGUUUUGAACUGUGAAGGUUGGCCAUUUAAAUGAAAUAUUUUGGCUGUCCACUUCUAACAUCUGCUGGUCACAUUAAGAAUUAGAAGUGUAAAGUCAUAUCCAACUGUCUUCUCCAGAGGACUUUGUGACCUUUACAGCUUUUUCCGGGACUCUACCUAUUCAUUGGCCUUAAAAGUCGUUUUCAGUGAACCACUAUGUAAUAAUUGAUUCUUCCUUCAAGGUCUACUUCUAGUUGGAAAUAUGAAGAAUACAGUUAGAAACAUGAAGCAAAGAUCCAGUCAGAGUGUUACAGGGCUAAGUUGAGGGUAUUUUUUAGUUUUUGUUCUGUGGUGCUGAGAAUUGAGCCCAGGGCCUCCUGUAUGGUAGGCAAGUGCUCUAUCCUGGAUGUGUGUCCCCAGCCCAAGGUGGAAUUCUUAAGCCUAUGCCUAAAUAUGGUGCAUUAUGACAGAAAUCAUUCUUAUUUUGAAUUACAACAAUGUUGCUCAGGAAAUCAGUAUUUUUCUUCUCAGUAUGUGCAUAUUGCACUGUUAGAUCAUGGAAAUAUUUGAAUGCUUUAUUUCAUUUUAUGUAUGCAAACUCUGUAAAUCUUGUAUAAUGUAUUUUGUACAAUUGGAAAAUGUAAUAGUAGACUAUUGUUAGCAUGUACAACUGUAAAACUUUUGAAACUUUAUGCCCUUUAUUCAUAUUUUUAAAAGAUCUGAAAAUGUAAUAAAGUUUCUAUUUUAUUAUUCAGUCUAAA
rnacentral:lncRNA from 1 species